UGCACGUUAUAACUCGGCUUCAUAACCGUUAUCAACAUAUGAUAUAACUCGUCAUUAUCCGAUUACUACUCGGAAUUUAUGAGCCAUAGCUCGGUGACAUCAAUACUCCUAUCAUAACCGACAUCCCAAACGGUAAAAUAAGGUCGGUUACAAUAUCAAUUAUUUGACGAUUAUUACCGAGAAUAUAACAGACGAGGAAUUCAUCAUAUAAAGGGAAGUAGAACAUUUCUUGAAAACCAAGUUUUUGAACAAGAAUAUACACUGACUUAAGCUUCAGAAUGCCUUUGUAGGUACACUCCACCUCCUUUUCAUUGCUCGCGCUUUCACACAACAACACAAAUAAAGAAGCUCGGAUUCAAAGAGUCGGACGUUCAGCCUCCCAGUACAUAGCUCGGCUGAUUCCAAGCAGUUGAAGCCGAUCUAUUUCCCAGGCAAGAUCAAAUAUCAUUUACAUCAUAUAUGAACAUCAUUUACAUCAUUCCACUCUCAUACAACUUCAUUCAUCAAAUUAAUCUAAUUACUUUAUAAAACUAACUUACUCACAUGAAAUGGAACAAUAAAGUUAUAAGUAUUAUGAAAUUAUGUGUCAGUUGUUGAAGUAGAAGUAAUGCGCUAUCAUGCUCUGCAACAUUCACAAUCCAAGAGGAAUUACCCUUCUUUAAAGAAUGGGAAUUGGAAUGGAAUAUAGCAGUGAACACUAAGGAACCAUCUUGAUUAUUAUUAUGCACUUCUUGCAGUGCUCAACUUGAAUACUUCGUCCAUAAACAAGAUCCGGCUUUGCUUAAGCAUAACCCGCCCC